CCUACGGGCGGCAGCAGUGGGGGAUAUUGCACAAUGGGGGGAACCCUGAUGCAGCGACGCCGCGUGGGUGAAGAAGCGCCUAGGCGCGUAAAGCCCUGUCAGCAGGGAAGAAAAUGCCGGUACCUGAAGAAGAAGCCCCGGCUAACUACGUGCCAGCAGCCGCGGUAAUACGUAGGGGGCAAGCGUUAUCCGGAUUUACUGGGUGUAAAGGGGGCGCAGCCGGCGAUGCAAGUCAGGAGUGAAAGCCGGGGGCCCAACCCCGGGACUGCUCUUGGAACUGCGUGGCUGGAGUGCAGGAGGGGCAGGCGGAAGUCCUGGUGUAGCGGUGAAAUGCGUAGAUAUCAGGAGGAACACCGGUGGCGAAGGCGGCCUGCUGGACUGCAACUGACGUUGAGGCCCGAAAGCGUGGGGAGCAAACAGGAUUAGAUACCCCAGUAGUC
rnacentral:rRNA from 1 species